GCACUUUGGAGAGGAUGGCACCACCUACGAGGCGGAAAUCAGGGAGCUGGCCAACCUGCGGCAGGCCAUGCGGACGCCCAGCCGGAGCGAGGCCGGCCUGGAGCUGCUCAUGUCCUACUACAACCAGCUCUGCCUCCUGGACGCUCGCUUCGUCAGCCCUGCCCGGGGCCUGGGGCUGCUCUUCCACUGGUACGACUCGCUCACGGGGGUCCCGGCCCAGCAGCAGGCACUGGCUUUCGAGAAGGGCAGCGUGCUCUUCAACAUCGGGGCGCUGCACACCC